rnacentral:misc_RNA from 1 species
GAUGAAGAACGCAGCGAAAUGCGAUAAGUAAUGUGAAUUGCAGAAUUCAGUGAAUCAUCGAAUCUUUGAACGCACAUUGCGCCCUCUGGUAUUCCGGGGGGCAUGCCUGUUCGAGCGUCAUUAUAACCACUCAAGCUCUCGCUUGGUAUUGGGGCUCGCGGUUCCGCGGCCCCUAAAAUCAGUGGCGGUGCCUGUCGACUCUACGCGUAGUAAUACUCCUCGCGAUUGAGUCCGGUAGGUCUACUUGCCAGCAACCCCCAAUUUUUACAGGUUGACCUCGGAUCAGGUAGGGAUACCCGCUGAACUUAAGCAUAUCAAUAAGCGGAGGA